rnacentral:lncRNA from 10 species
CAGGUGUGGGGGUGGGGGGAAGCCCUGUCCCUGAGACCCGGGUCAGGGAGAGUCAUGUGCUGGGCUUUGAUGACUCAAUCGGGAAGUCACGCCCAGGCUGGGACCCAGGGGUCUGUAGCCCAGAGGCGAAAUCGUGGGUAUGGAUGGGGGAGCGAGUGAGAAGGAGUCGGCCGCCCCAAGGCUGCAUUGGUCACCUGCCGCUAUGUGACAACCAGCCGCCGCCUGUGUGCGUCUCAGGGGCAUGUAGGGCUGCUGGGUGGCCAUGCAGACCCCCAGUGGCCUUGCUCCUGCGGUGAUGGGCUGGCCAGGGGUCAGCUGCUCCAGGUCUGUGGUCCUCUCUGCGUGUGUUGUUUAUCCUGCCAGACCCGUGGCUUAAGAGGAAAAGUUGGGCUUAAGAGCUCUCUCGAGGCCUAGGCUCAGCAUUGGGCCCCGGCCACUUCUGAGAGCCACAUGGCCAAGCCCAACGUCAGGGUGUGGGAAGUCGACUCUGCCAGUGACAAGGCCACAGGCAGGCACAGCAGGGAUACGGCCGUCCCACCCAUCCCUCUCCCAGCGAGCCAUCUGGGUAAUGAGAAUGUCGGGGACAGACCAGGUGAAAGGUCCCACUGAGGAGGAAGGGCAGGCCCAAGUGUCUUGGCAGGGGCAGGGAGAGGGAGGGAGCAGAGGGUUGGGGCAAUGAGAGGUGACCGCCGUCGGCAAGUUUGCCCCCGGGCAUUCAUUUCCGCCAGAAAGAAAAAGUGGAUGGAAAGUCUCAGAGCCUCCCAAAGUGCUGGGAUUACAGGUGUGAGCCAUCGCGCCUGGCUUG